rnacentral:rRNA from 1 species
CCUACGGGAGGCAGCAGUGGGGGAUAUUGCACAAUGGGGGAAACCCUGAUGCAGCGACGCCGCGUGAGUGAAGAAGUAUUUCGGUAUGUAAAGCUCUAUCAGCAGGGAAGAAAAUGACGGUACCUGAUUAAGAAGCCCCGGCUAACUACGUGCCAGCAGCCGCGGUAAUACGUAGGGGGCAAGCGUUAUCCGGAUUUACUGGGUGUAAAGGGAGCGUAGACGGCAGCGCAAGUCUGAAGUGAAAUGCCGGGGCUCAACCCGUGAACUGCAUUUGAAACUGUUUCCCUUGAGUGUCGGAGAGGUAAUCGGAAUUCCUUGUGUAGCGGUGAAAUGCGUAGAUAUAAGGAAGAACACCAGUGGCGAAGGCGGAUUACUGGACGAUAACUGACGGUGAGGCGCGAAAGCGUGGGGAGCAAACAGGAUUAGAUACCCGGGUAGUC